GAAAUGCGAUAAGUAGUGUGAAUUGCAGAAUUCAGUGAAUCAUCGAAUCUUUGAACGCACAUUGCGCCCCUCGGCAUUCCGUGGGGCAUGCCUGUUCGAGCGUCAUCUACACCCUCAAGCUCUGCUUGGUGUUGGGCGUCUGUCCCGCCUCCGCGCGCGGACUCGCCCCAAAUGCAUUGGCAGCGGUUCCUUGCCCCCCUCUUUGCGCAGCACAUUGCCAUUCGAGGCGGCGGCGGCCCGCGUCCAACAAGCUCAACCCCCCCGUCUUUGACCUCGGAUCAGGUAGGGAUACCCGCUAAACUUAAGC
rnacentral:misc_RNA from 1 species